UUCUUACAAUGUGUAAGGAAAUCCAUAACAACAAAGCUCUGACAGUUGUACAUUAAAGUGUUCACCUACGUCCACUGUAGUUCUUAGUUCAGCAUUAAAAAUUUGCGUUAAUUAAAUCUUGUUCAAUACAUUAUUUUUUGUACUAAUUUUCGCGCGUAGCACAAAAGUUGCGCAAAAUUUAGUACGAAAACUACACGCAAAACUAAAAUUUAAUAUGCCAAAUAAUCGCGCGGAAAUUAGUACGAAUAUUGUAUUGUUUCUGGACCCAUUUCUUUUAAGUUCACGAUUGCGUGUUUGGCACUAAGACUAAAAUAAAAUUUCGAAUUGAUUUUUAGGUUUAAAUAAUAUAAUUGCGCCCCGCCGAAGGGGCGCACAUUUAGUGGACCGCGGGUAUAUAGUGUUUGUUUUAUGUGUAUGGGAGAAGUUUUUUUCUUACUCUCAACUUCGCGGGGGAACUUCGGCUCGAACAUCCAACCUAGGUUUGAUAUAACACAACCUGUGUGUUUGGUACCAUCAAGACAAAAAUAACACUGAUCGAGCAAAACUUAUCUUGUCUCGGUUUCUUUGUUGUCUCUGAAGAUUUGACUGCCAUAAAAAAUAUUAAUCGAGAUUCUUUUGUUAUGUUAAUUUAAAGCUUUGUAAUAUUGUCUCGUUUAAUAUGCUUAAAUGUCACUGCAGCCCACGUGAAUUUAUCUUCAAGAAAAAGUUUGUUUUUCUUUGUCCAAGUUGUUUCGAAACUUGUUAACAAUCAUUUGUUAUCAAACCAUGCACCAUCAGCAUUUUCGAAAAAUCUUCAACGAGAGAAAUUUUUUAAGGAUUUUAUUGGUAACUUAACGGAGUAAUAAUUCAUUGAAAUUUUUCAGAAGUUAUUAUAUAUAUUCGAAUCGUGAAGUUCAUACAUAGCAAUCCUGCAUCCUGGAAUUUUCGAGAUCAGUUAUAAAAAAAUCCAGUUAAAGUUUAACUAUUGUUUUAGAAUAUAUACUAUAUAUAUGUAAAAAAAAUUAUUUUUUAUUUAUCAAGUUGUAUUUUACGUUAAUUACAAUAAUAAUUGAGAAUUAGGAUA